AGAGUUUGAUCAUGGCUCAGAUUGAACGCUGGCGGCAGGCCUAACACAUGCAAGUCGAGCGGAUGAAGAGAGCUUGCUCUCUGAUUCAGCGGCGGACGGGUGAGUAAUGCCUAGGAAUCUGCCUGGUAGUGGGGGACAACGUCUCGAAAGGGACGCUAAUACCGCAUACGUCCUACGGGAGAAAGCAGGGGACCUUCGGGCCUUGCGCUAUCAGAUGAGCCUAGGUCGGAUUAGCUAGUUGGUGAGGUAAUGGCUCACCAAGGCGACGAUCCGUAACUGGUCUGAGAGGAUGAUCAGUCACACUGGAACUGAGACACGGUCCAGACUCCUACGGGAGGCAGCAGUGGGGAAUAUUGGACAAUGGGCGCAAGCCUGAUCCAGCCAUGCCGCGUGUGUGAAGAAGGCCUUCGGGUUGUAAAGCACUUUCAGCGAGGAGGAAGGGAUUGUAGUUAAUAGCUGCAAUUUUUGACGUUACUCGCAGAAGAAGCACCGGCUAACUCUGUGCCAGCAGCCGCGGUAAUACAGAGGGUGCAAGCGUUAAUCGGAAUUACUGGGCGUAAAGCGCACGUAGGCGGUUUUUUAAGUCAGAUGUGAAAGCCCCGGGCUCAACCUGGGAAUUGCAUUUGAAACUGGAAAACUAGAGUGUGUGAGAGGGGGGUAGAAUUCCAAGUGUAGCGGUGAAAUGCGUAGAGAUUUGGAGGAAUACCAGUGGCGAAGGCGGCCCCCUGGCACAACACUGACGCUCAGGUGCGAAAGCGUGGGGAGCAAACAGGAUUAGAUACCCUGGUAGUCCACGCCGUAAACGAUGUCUACUAGCUGUUCGUGGUCUUGUACUGUGAGUAGCGCAGCUAACGCACUAAGUAGACCGCCUGGGGAGUACGGUCGCAAGAUUAAAACUCAAAUGAAUUGACGGGGGCCCGCACAAGCGGUGGAGCAUGUGGUUUAAUUCGAUGAUACGCGAGGAACCUUACCUAGGCUAGAAUGUGAGCGAAGUAAUCAGAGAUGGUUACGUCAGCAAUGACGCGAAACAAGGUGCUGCAUGGCCGUCGUCAGUUCGUGCCGUGAGGUGUUGGGUUAAGUCCCGCAACGAACGCAACCCCUAUAAUCUGUUGCCAGCAUGUGAUGAUGGGGACUCAGGUUAGACUGCCUACGCAAGUAGAGAGGAAGGA
rnacentral:rRNA from 1 species